rnacentral:lncRNA from 1 species
CACACACACACACAUGAAAGAAGGAAUAUUCCUUGGUUAUUAUUGGGGUUGAGUUGUUAGGCCCCGUUUGGUGGGCAGGAUGGGAUGGGUUAUUUUCAAUUAAAAUGGGCUAGCUCAGCCAAUUUUUGGUCAGAAAAAUUGUAACACAGAUUGAAUUGGCUACAAAUCUGAAAUAAGGGGAAAAAUAUGAUGGGUUAUGUAACUGUUUGGAUCCAAAAUUUUAUUUUGGGCCAAGCUCAGAAAUAUGCUCGGCCCAAAGGUGUGUUUAGAAUCUUAUCAUGAAUCGGUCUUGUCAAGGUUGGCUGAAUCCUGAUACGAAGAGGAUUAUUUCGGAUAAAGGUGAAGUAGUCGAGACGUAGUGUGAUAAGGAGUUCUAGUGAUGCUGGGAUUCGGGAGAUGAAUUUGGCUCGUUUAAAAGGUGGGUUCAAAGUCCUAGUUGAAUUAGGAUUGGUCGAGUCCUAGUUAGAUUAGGUUAAGGAGCCCUAAUCCGAGUGUGGUUCUAGCUCGGCCAUGAGAAAGUUUAUUAUUAUAAAUAGAGAAGGCGUGCAUCACUCAAGCCCUCUCCAAUUCAACACACAAACUGCCCUGCGCAAACUCUCACUCUAUGCGAAACCUCUCAACAACCAUGAGAUUUUUAUUUUCUUUUCCUCGCCGACACAUCUUCAUUUUGGAUAAACAGCACUGUGAAGGCAACCGGUAGCAUCUUUAGUUUGGAUAAACACAACACUGUUGCCGUAGAAUUAGUCGACCGCAGAGCACCUUCAGUUUGGAUAAACAGCACUACAUCGAGGCCUACUAGUUAUCUAUCCAAGUCUAUGUCAAGAAGGAUUUUCGAGUCCUUAUUGGCAAGGGUCAUCUCAUUAGCCUUUUUGGCGAAGU